rnacentral:rRNA from 1 species
UACGAAGGGACCUAGCGUAGUUCGGAAUUACUGGGCUUAAAGAGUUCGUAGGUGGUUGAAAAAGUUGGUGGUGAAAUCCCAGAGCUUAACUCUGGAACUGCCAUCAAAACUUUUCAGCUAGAGUAUGAUAGAGGAAAGCAGAAUUUCUAGUGUAGAGGUGAAAUUCGUAGAUAUUAGAAAGAAUACCAAUUGCGAAGGCAGCUUUCUGGAUCAUAACUGACACUGAGGAACGAAAGCAUGGGUAGCGAAGAGGAUUAGAUACCCUCGUAGUCCAUGCCGUAAACGAUGUGUGUUAGACGUUGGAAAUUUAUUUUCAGUGUCGCAGCGAAAGCGAUAAACACACCGCCUGGGGAGUACGACCGCAAGGUUAAAACUCAAAUGAAUUGACGGGGACCCGCACAAGUAGUGGAGCAUGUGGUUUAAUUCGAAGAUACGCGCAGAACCUUACCAACACUUGACAUGUUCGUCGCGACUCUAAGAGAUUAGAGUUUUCGGUUCGGCCGGACGAAACACAGGUGCUGCAUGGCUGUCGUCAGCUCGUGUCGUGAGAUGUUGGGUUAAGUCCCGCAACGAGCGCAACCCUCACUUUUAGUUGCCAUCAUUAAGUUGGGCACUCUGAAAGAACUGCCAGUGAUAAGCUGGAGGAAGGUGGGGAUGACGUCAAGUCCUCAUGGCCCUUACGUGUUGGGCUACACACGUGCUACAAUGGUAUCUACAACAGGAAGCAAGACUGCGAAGUUAAGCAAAUCCUUAAAAGAUACCUCAGUUCGGAUUGCACUCUGCAACUCGAGUGCAUGAAGCUGGAAUUACUAGUAAUCGUGGAUCAGCGUGCCACGGUGAAUGCGUUCCCGGGUCU